rnacentral:lncRNA from 1 species
CAAUGCCUGGGGCAGGGGUGAGGCAGGCCAGGUGGCGCUACCUGUGUUGGUGUCCAGGGCGAAGGUCUCGGUCAGCUGCUCCCCCAUCCCUGCAGGGGCCUCCAGCCGGACGUUGAGGGGGCUGGGCAGCAUGGCCCGGUGCGUGUCCCCGCCAGCCCCAUUGUACACGCCGCUCACGUGCAGCGUGUCGUGAAACACUCGUGUGCCCAGCUGCUGCUUGGGUUUUCCAUCCUCCUGAGACCACCGGUGCAAUUCCCAAUUCCCAUCUCAACGCCACCGCCCACCCGGACGCCGCUGGGCUCAGCCCUGGGCCCGCUCGUCCCGGUAUCUCACGCUCCCUGACCCGGCCUCAAUGUCCUGACCACUCGGUGCAGCCGGAGACGCCGGGGUCCAGCACGUGCUCGGAAGCCUGCUGCUCCCACAGGGUCCCCAGCACAGGUGAGGACGACUCCGCCCGUCCCGCUGCCCAGGCCGUGAGCCCCGGUUUCUCUCUGUCACCCACACAGCAUCCAACCUAUGGACAGGUCCUGUGGCUCCACCUCCAACACGCCGUGGGCCCACACCUCCUCCUGGAGUGGCUCAGUCGCUCCCAACUUACGCCUUUGUUGAGAACAGAACCCCCACAACAUUUAAGGCAGGCCCUGCACUCUGCCCAGAAGGCAGCCAUGGCGCCCAACUCACGGAGGACGAUCCAAAAGCGCUCCUCACGCAAGCUCCACCCGGCGCAAACCCCCUCCUGCAACUGCCUGGGUUCCCUGACCUCAUCUCCUCCCCCUCCCCUACUCCGCUGCGGCUACCUGGCUUCCUUGCUGCUUCUGGAACUUUCCAAGCACGCAAGCUCCACCCGCAAACCCCCUCCUGCACCUGCCUUGGUUCCCUGACCUCAUCUCCUCCCCGUCCCCUACUCCGCUGCGGCUACCUGGCUUCCUUGCUGCUUCUGGAACUUUCCAAGCACGCAAGCUCCACCCGCAAACCCCCUCCUGCACCUGCCUGGGUUCCCUGACCUCAUCUCCUCCCCCUCCCCUACUCCGCUGUCGCUACCUGGCUUCCUU